UAUCGUUACUGGGGGAGCUGAAAGGCUGAGAGUUCCCGGCAACACCGGGAAGACCCUUGGAACCUGGUCUCGGUAAUUCGAGCGAAGGGAAGUACCACACUCCAACA
rnacentral:ncRNA from 1 species